GAUGAACGCUGGCGGCGUGCCUAGUACAUGCAAGUCGAGCGAACAGAUGAGGAGCUUGCUCCUCUGACGUUAGCGGCGGACGGGUGAGUAACACGUGGAUAACCUACCUAUAAGACUGGGAUAACUUCGGGAAACCGGAGCUAAUACCGGAUAAUAUAUUGAACCGCAUGGUUCAAUAGUGAAAGACGGUUUUGCUGUCACUUAUAGAUGGAUCCGCGCCGCAUUAGCUAGUUGGUAAGGUAACGGCUUACCAAGGCAACGAUGCGUAGCCAACCUGAGAGGGUGAUCGGCCACACUGGAACUGAGACACGGUCCAGACUCCUACGGGAGGCAGCAGUAGGGAAUCUUCCGCAAUGGGCGAAAGCCUGACGGAGCAACGCCGCGUGAGUGAUGAAGGUCUUCGGAUCGUAAAACUCUGUUAUUAGGGAAGAACAAAUGUGUAAGUAACUAUGCACGUCUUGACGGUACCUAAUCAGAAAGCCACGGCUAACUACGUG
rnacentral:rRNA from 1 species